GACGAACGCUGGCGGCGUGCUUAACACAUGCCAGUCGAACGGAAAGGCCCUGCUUUUGUGGGGUGCUCGAGUGGCGAACGGGUGAGUAACACGUGAGUAACCUGCCCUUGACUUUGGGAUAACUUCAGGAAACUGGGGCUAUUACCGGAUAGGAGCUCCUGCUGCAUGGUGGGGGUUGGAAGGUUUCGGCGGUUGGGGAUGGACUCGCGGCUUAUCAGCUUGUUGGUGGGGUAGUGGCUUACCAAGGCUUUGACGGGUAGCCGGCCUGAGAGGGUGACCGGCCACAUUGGGACUGAGAUACGGCCCAGACUCCUACGGGAGGCAGCAGUGGGGAAUAUUGCACAAUGGGCGGAAGCCUGAUGCAGCAACGCCGCGUGCGGGAUGACGGCCUUCGGGUUGUAAACCGCUUUCGCCUGUGACGAAGCGUGAGUGACGGUAAUGGGUAAAGAAGCACCGGCUAACUACGUG
rnacentral:rRNA from 1 species